UCAUCAAACCUAGCCGAAUUCUUUUUGAACAAUGGGUCGACAUCAUAUUCCAAAUCAAAUUUAGACAAAUUUAGAUGAUCUUUGUUCGUUUCGAUAGUUUUCUUGUUCUUUUUCUGUAAAGGAAAACUCCAUUACAACUUGCAUCAUCCUGAUCGCCUUCUGCCGUCUGUGCAUUCCCUUCUUGUUCUUGACCUUCACUACCAGUUCUUCCUAAGCCUCCUGCCAUUUUUAUUGUGUCAAUAUGAACACAAUCAACCCGGUAAGCAUAGAUUUUGGUGCUGGCAUCCAAAGUACAGCUUGCAGCCUACAAGCAAUCAUUAAGAAUGGUUGGUUGUUAAACAUCAUCCUGAAUCAAAACUAACCUGAAAGUUGUUCAUCUCUGGAUCCUUUUUCCUCAACAUCUCAGACAUGCAGUCAAUGAGUUAAAGUUUAAUACAGUUGGAAUAAUGUUCAACUAAGGCUGCAUUAGUCAUGCCGGUAGCAGGUCCCAUAGAUUUCCUACGAUCAGCAGGUGUAGCUGGCUACAUUAUGGCUGGGGUUUUCUACGAAACUAUCUACCUUUUGGUGCCAUUGGUCGGUGGGCAUGCUCUGCAGAAAAAUACACUGCCAACAAAUUGGCGCCAUUUAGCAAGUUGGCGCCAAAUUGUAGGUGACAUGUUCCAUGAAGAACCAUAAUUUCUGAUGGCUU